GUUGCACCGAAUGUUGAAAAGUUGAAUGGGAUAAUUGUAAUUUUGAUCCCUAAUUUUUAGGCCAUUUGCAAGUUAGUCCCUGAAUUUCAACUAUAAAUAGACCUUCUCAUUUUUCAUUUCAACUAUCCCAACCAAUCUUUCUCUCUUAGUUUUCUCUCUUCUCCCAUUUGAGAAUUCUUAAGGAAUUUUAUUUGUUUGUAUUAUUUUGGAGAUAAUAAAGUUAUCAUCUGGUGUUAGUGCCCGAGGACUUUAAACUGAUCUUCCAUAUCAAAAAAGAUUUCCUUAGGUAUAUUGAAAGAUUAUGGAGAAAACGGUCGGUGUAGGAGCUUCAACAUCGUCCAUAUGGAUAAGACCGAAAAUUACAAAUGCAAGAUUGGCCGUGGAAAUCUUUGAUGGCACCGGCCAUUUUGGUAUAUGGCAAAGUGAGGUUCUAGAUGCCCUUUUUCAGCAGGGUCUAGACAUUGCCAUUGAUGAAGAGAAACCAGAUGAUGUACAAGAGAAAGA